CUGUGACAUUAAUUUUCAAAAUUUGAUAUGGUGUACAAACGUUUGCACUUAAUGUUUGCGGUUUAUCAUCUUUUCCACAAGUUUAUUGUUUUCUUUUUGGUAUCAAAAAGUAAAAUCACAAAAAUACUGAACUGAAAAUUCAAAACGGAAAGUCCCCAAUCAAAUGGCAAACUCAAAAGAUGAAACACAUCAAACGAAUGGACAACAACUGUCAUAUACCUAACUUGCUACAGGCAUUUUCUAGAAAAUAGUGGAUUGAACCUGGUUUUAAAGCCAGCUAAACCUCUCACUUGUAUGACAGUCGCAUCAAAUUCUAUUAUUAUGAAUAAAGGCAACAGUAGUAUACCGCUGUUCAAACUCAUAAAUCCAAGGACAAAAAACAAAAUCGGGGUAACAAACUAAAACUGACGGAAACGCAUAAAUAUAAGAGGAGAACAACGACACAACACUACAAUGUAACUAACACACACAGAAACGGACCAAGCAUCAGACAAAAUCCCACGAGAAUAACAAAUAUAACAUCAAAACCAAAUACAUGAAUUUGGGAUAGACAAGUACCGUGACACGUCUUAUCGCAAUGUCAAUUUACACUCAAAAAUAAGAGAAAACAAACGACGCAACGUUAAAUUGUAACACACACAGAAACGAACUAUAAUAUAACAAUGGCCAUAUUCCUGACUUGGUACAGGACAUUUUUAAAGGAAAAAAUGGUGGGUUGAACCUGGUUUUGUGGACAACGAUGCAAGAACAAAACAAACAGACAUAUUAGGUUAAAAUGUCAAAAUAUGGGAACAGCAGUCAACAUUGUGUAAUAAUCUCAAUCACUAAAAAAAUCAGAAACAAAUAUGUACUAAAGAGGCACAAAAUGACAUAAAGACCAAGUAUAUUAGCAAAAAAAUAAAGACAAGAAUACACAAAUUUACUAUAGUACAUUGCCAUAAUGACGGAAUUUUAAGUAACAGAGCCACGUCAUAUAUGUAUAUAUGUAUCAAAGAAUCAUAAAAAAGGAUAAAGACAAAGCACAUAGCAAAAAUGAAUGAGAAGCAAACAAACAUGUUUUACAAUAGCGCAAUAACGGGAUGUAUAAGUACAGAGCAACGUUAUAUGUAUCGAAGUAACACCAAAAGGCAUAUAGACAUUGCACAUUAGCAAAAAUGAAAGACAAAAAUACGGAAAUAUCAUACUAGUAAACAUUACAUAAUGACAGGAUGUACUAAUACAACCAGUAUCUUAAUCACAAUAAAAUCAAACAAAUAUUAAACAAAGAAGCACAAAAAAGCAUAUACCAUAUCAAACAACUGUAUUUAUUACUUUGACAUUGACCUUGGUAUAUAAAUGAGCGCAUGACGUCAGAAUGUAAACGUCACACAGGUAGAGAUAUAAAAUAAUUUUGUCGUUCUAGUAUGAAAUGAUAUAUUUACAGUGCUUAUAUAGCGCUUAUCUAAAUACACAUUUACUCUAAGCGCUUUACAAUGCAUAAAAAACAAUGAAACAAGUACAUAUAAACAAAUUUAAAAAUCCAAUAAAAAUAGAAACC
rnacentral:lncRNA from 1 species